rnacentral:tRNA from 1 species
GCGGGGGUAGCCAAGCCAGGUCAAAGGCGACGGACUCAAGAUCCGUUCCCGUAGGGGUUCAAGGGUUCGAAUCCCUUCCCCCGCACCA